AUCGUUUCUAUUUGAUUUGGCCAUCUUUUCUAUUUUACGAGUAUUUGAUAAGGCUGAUUACGAAUUCUCGAAUCAACACAGUAUUAUUAUGUUUAUGAAGUUUUAGUGUGUGAAUUUAUUUAAUUAUUGUAUUUACGAUUAUAGUUUGUUUUGGUUUAAAUGAGUGGCACAACUCUCUCUCCAUCUCUCUUUCGCAGUGCUAUCUUUAUUCAAUGCUAGGUUAUUGAGAAAAGCAUGAAUAUUACUCCUAGUCAAAUAUCUAGAAUGUAGAAUUACUUGAGAGUUAGUAAAGUCGCGCCAUCAAUUAGUCAUCAAUAUAUAAUACGAUUAGCGAUUCCUCGCUUCUCCUUAAUUUUAGGUCCUAUGUGGCAUAUCUAAGAAUUCAAGGUUUAAAAUCCCUGCAAGAGCUUCUACCUCAAUUCUAUUUUGCUGACGUGGCAAUAUAAUUCCACCUCAAUUAUUAUUUUAUAUAUAUCCAUUUUUCCCUCCCUCUUAUUUUAACUUUAUCAAAUAUCUAAUCCCAAUUCCGGAAUAUACAAUCUAUCCCAAUUCCUCUUUUUCCCCUCCCCGUCUCUCACAGGGUCCGACUCACACCAGACUUUCCCCUCCCUCUGUCGGCCAUUUUCCAUGAUUCGCCUCACUCCGGCCGCCGCUUCACCCUGUAUCUUACGCCCAUUUUCUCCUUCCCUGUCUCUCACACGGUCACAUGGUUGCAUAUCUUCUGCCAGAGCCGCCGAUGCCGCAGAGAUAUACCCCUUCCGUCUCCACACCAGCUCUCAUUUCGCCCUACCGCAGCCAUGGCACAGCCGCCGUCAAUGGGUGUCUCGCUGAUUUGCCUCCUCCCUUUUCCCUCCACCGCCGUCCGCCACCGCGUCGCGCCGCCCCGACACCCUUCGUCAUCUACCACACCCUACUCCACACCAGCUCUCAUUUCCCCCCACCGCAGCCAUGGCACAGUCGCCGCCAAUGGCUGCCCUGUGCCUAACACCACCGCCGUCAAUGGGUGUCUCGCCGGACAUUACUUGGCUCCGGAACGGUUCUUGAUUAGCCCCGGGUUCCGCCCCGCUGCCGGGGACAGCUACUUUUCCAUCAGUUGAAGGUGCGUGUAGAUUUCCGUCAAUCAUCGAGUUUUGAUCAACACUGUAACGUGUCGUCACCGUUUGCGAUCUGCCGUGAUUCUUCCUUUCCAUCCAUGGUAAGUAUUACAUUAGUUUCCUUAUUUAAUAAUGCGUUUGACUAUUGUAAAUAUAGAAUGAUUAUGGUGAACUUUAGAAAGAAUAGAUUUUGGAAACAAGUUUAACAAUGGAAAUUUCUAACCUAUAUUUUUAGCUAUAAUUUCCUUAGUUAAAAUGAUUUUGGCUGCAUCGUGUUUUUACAGCCAAUGCUAGAUAUCUUUCCUCUUCUUUUGCUACAUUUUUUCUUCUUUGCUCAUUUCACAUAUAUUUUGUAUUUGAAUCUGAAUUAUAGUUCAUGAAUUUGUUUGGGGACUGUGUGAGUGUGUGUGCACCAGUAGUUUAGAAGCAUUUGUGGGCUGCCACGAUAAGAAAAAACAUAAAUUGGCAAGUCAGUUAUUAGGUUGGAAUUACUUCUGUUUAAUGCCUUGUGAUAUGCCUUCAUCAUGAACCUAAUGGAGUAGCACGAAAUAACUUUCCUACUGGUGGUUUCUUUUCUAUGUCUCAAGCAUUGAAUGGUUAUACAUACUCUAUUGUGGCAUUUUAAUAGAGCAUGAACCUCAAUGCUUUUGCAUGAAGGUUGGUUAGAGCGGCUCAUAAAAAGGGGGCUAAUAUUAUUCUUAUACAGGUUUGUACUCUUAUAUUUGGUGAAUCAAUGUUCCUAUAUGUUAAUUUUGCUAUUGAUGAUAUGAUGAUUGCUCUGGAUUAAUUGAUUUAAACUCAAGAUGAGUUGAUACAUGUAGUUGUCUCCCUUUAUUAUUAUUAUUUUUUUUGCUGGGAGCCAUCAUAGAUCUACUUUAUGCAUUUUGAGUGCUAAACAUUCCGUCAAAAGCUUUCUUUUGAUUUAGAGCUAAUACCUGAAUUGCUUCAUUACAUCAUAGUUCAUGCCGAUGUGUUUGCAGUGCUUAUUUUUGAGUUGUCAUGAUUGGUCAUGAUGUUAUGCAUUUACCCUAUAAGAAAAAAUUAGUUUGUCACCACAUGCAUAAGCUUACAUAUACUAUGAAUUUUACACUGCAUGGAGUCAUAUGGAAUGUUAUCUAGAUGCAGAAGUGGCAUGAAUUAGUUGGAGAAUUUACCCACAAAAAUUAUCGGUCAGUAUAUUGUAGUAACGUUUUAGGGGUAAUUGACAUAUGCUUUCAUUGGUAUAAUUAGGAGAUUCUAAUAACAAAGUCUGGGUAGACUUCAACUUAAAGCGAUCAAUAUGUAGUAAUUGGAGUUUGUGUAGUUCUUAGAAAAUGGAAGAUCCAAAUUGCAAAUUCAGGACAUACUUUUCAAAUUAGGUGUAAAAGCAAAUAUCUAAAAAGAUCAUUGGAAAUACAAUAUAUGUGGGUACUUUGAUUGUACAAAAAGCUAAUACAAAUAAGAAUCACAAGACUUAGAAGCAUAAUUAUGACGGCAUUAUACUAUGAUUCCCCACCCUCUCCUAGAUACAUUUGCACUUGGUCUAUUUUGGAAUAAAACCAUUUUUGGCGCUUUCUACUUGACACAAAAUAAAAUACGUACCUCUGAAUUUUAUGUUAUAUAUGAGUAUUGUAUAAUGGAUGCAUUAUUAUAAGUAUAACAUAUAAAAUGCAUUUGUUACCUUGAGGGUGUGCGAGCCUGGGCAAGCCCCGACCCAAAAUUUGUUGUACGUAACGUAAUUAUGUGUUAUAAAUCUUUCCGCCACUUAUGCUUACUUUCAUUUCUUUUUUAAGCAUUGAUUUCCUUACAUAAUCAGAUAAUAAGACACAUGUCACUUUUUAUAUUUUUAAGUCUUUUGUUGCUUGCCAUCUCAUAUUGAAAUCUGCCACUUAUGCUUAUUUCCAUUUCUUUUUUAAGCUUGGAGUUUGCUUGCUUACAUAAUUAGGUAAUAAGACCCAUGUCAGUUUUUAUAGUUUUAAGUCGUUUGUUGCAACAAUUUUUUUUUUCCAUUCUCCAUUUUAACAAUUAGCCACAUAUUGUAGGUUACAUUGGUUCAGUCUCCUUCUUGAAUACUGUUCUAAGAGUUGUGGAUAAGCUUAGGUCUGUCAACCCCGGACUUACAUAUGUCAAAAUGCAGUUACUAUAUGGAGAUCUAUGGAAGAAAAUGGAAAUUGAAAGAUGCAUACCCGAACCACUAUACUUCGAGGAACGAGUUAGUACCAGAGCCCCCAUGAUGAUAGGAUGGAUGACAGAGGAAGUAAUUGAAGACAUUGUCGAAAUUGUACCAGGAAAGCAUGGGCUAGAGGAAACCUUAGACAUAAAAAAGUUCAUCUUCGAACUCUUAAUAACGUGGAAAAUAUUAUGUAUAUGGGAAUUCAAAGACAAUUGUUACAAACAAAUAUUGUUUAGGCAAUAUUUGUUUUAUUUGAUGUUUUUAUAAGUUAUUUCAAUGAGAAUUAUUAUGUAUUUUUUUGUUACACAA